GUCCCUGUAGCGCAAUGGAUAGCGCGUUGGACUUUGAAUUCAAAGUUGUGGGUUUGAAUCCCACCUGGGAUG
rnacentral:tRNA from 1 species